AAAUACCAAAGUAAACACCGUUUUCCUGCUUGUUACUUCCUAGAAAGUAGCACGUCUGGAAAUUGAGAACAAAGUCCUUCAGGAGCAAUUGAAACAGGCUUUACAGGAAGCUGAAAAAGCUAAGCAUCAACUUAACUAUUUCCUAAAUCAAGAGAGGAAGUUACUUAAAAGUGAGGGGAAAACUGAGACAACCAUGCGAGUGGGUAAUAGUCAAACAGAAGUUAAAGGUGAAGAUUCAAAAACUAUACCAUUGGAGAAGGAAACAAGAAAAUCACUGGUUUCAGAUUCAGGUGGACAGAGGGCAAGUGAUAAAAUCCAAGAAUAUCCACAGCUCAGAGAAGAAACGAUCUAGCCCUGCUAUUUCAGAUCUUUCACAGAUCCUUAAGUCUCAAGAUGAAUCAGCAUCUUUAGAGAGUUCAAAUGAAGUUUCAGUUGCUGAAAACCAACCCAAUAAAUCUCCAUCAGAGACCCAUCAUAAAUCACUUACAACAGUAUCAUCCAGCAAAGAAGUUCAAGAUUCACUGUCUGUUGGAACAUUGGCUCAAAAAAAUGAAACAGUGAUGUCACCAUUCGUUUUACCUCCUGUUCUUACAGAAAGUAAAAAGGUAUGAUAUAUAUAGAAAUUUGAAAGCUGUUUAUUUCAUAUUGCUCCUUCACUAUCCCAAAUAAAUGCUAACCCAUUUAAAUGGGUUAAAAAUUCAGUAUUUUCUUAUUUCAAGAGAAUUAAAAGUUUGCCUUUUAACACA
rnacentral:lncRNA from 1 species